rnacentral:sRNA from 1 species
GCCAACGUCAUCCUCUGGCGCAGAUGCCC